rnacentral:lncRNA from 1 species
CCAUUUUUAUCAUCUAUUCAACACCAUCCAAUAACUUUCACCAUAGGUAACACCUAAAGAUUUAAGCAUGACACCAUUUAUCGGCACGUGUAUAUUUGUUUGUGUGCUCAAGUGUACGUAAUUUUAGACAUUACCACCUCAGGUGAUAGUAGCCUAAGCUAAUUAUGUGCAUAAACAAGAAAUAUGUUCCGUCUUCUUGUUACACAUUAAAG